rnacentral:rRNA from 1 species
GGUUAAGUGACUAAGCGUACACGGUGGAUGCCUAGGCAGUCAGAGGCGAUGAAGGGCGUGCUAAUCUGCGAAAAGCGUCGGUAAGGUGAUAUGAACCGUUAUAACCGGCGAUACCCGAAUGGGGAAACCCAGUGUGUUUCGACACACUAUCAUGUCAUGAAUACAUAGUGGCAUGAGGCGAACCGGGGGAACUGAAACAUCUAAGUACCCCGAGGAAAAGAAAUCAACCGAGAUUCCCCCAGUAGCGGCGAGCGAACGGGGAGGAGCCCAGAACCUGAAUCGGCUUGUGUGUUAGUGGAAGCGUCUGGAAAGUCGCGCAGCAAAGGGUGAUAGCCCCGUACACUAAAAUGCACAGGUCGUGAGUUCGAUGAGUAGGGCGGGACACGUGACAUCCUGUCUGAAUAUGGGGGGACCAUCCUCCAAGGCUAAAUACUCCUGACUGACCGAUAGUGAACCAGUACCGUGAGGGAAAGGCGAAAAGAACCCCGGCGAGGGGAGUGAAAUAGAACCUGAAACCGUGUACGUACAAGCAGUGGGAGCACCUUCGUGGUGUGACUGCGUACCUUUUGUAUAAUGGGUCAGCGACUUAUAUUUUGUAGCAAGGUUAACCGUAUAGGGGAGCCGUAGGGAAACCGAGUCUUAACUGGGCGAUUAGUUGCAAGGUAUAGACCCGAAACCCGGUGAUCUAGCCAUGGGCAGGUUGAAGGUUGGGUAACACUAACUGGAGGACCGAACCGACUAAUGUUGAAAAAUUAGCGGAUGACUUGUGGCUGGGGGUGAAAGGCCAAUCAAACCGGGAGAUAGCUGGUUCUCCCCGAAAGCUAUUUAGGUAGCGCCUCGUGAACUCAUCUUCGGGGGUAGAGCACUGUUUCGGCUAGGGGGCCAUCCCGGCUUACCAAACCGAUGCAAACUCCGAAUACCGAAGAAUGUUAUCACGGGAGACACACGGCGGGUGCUAACGUCCGUCGUGAAGAGGGAAACAACCCAGACCGCCAGCUAAGGUCCCAAAGUCAUGGUUAAGUGGGAAACGAUGUGGGAAGGCACAGACAGCCAGGAUGUUGGCUUAGAAGCAGCCAUCAUUUAAAGAAAGCGUAAUAGCUCACUGGUCGAGUCGGCCUGCGCGGAAGAUGUAACGGGGCUAAACCAUGCACCGAAGCUGCGGCAGCGACGCUUAGGCGUUGUUGGGUAGGGGAGCGUUCUGUAAGCCGUUGAAGGUGGCCUGUGAGGGUUGCUGGAGGUAUCAGAAGUGCGAAUGCUGACAUAAGUAACGAUAAAGCGGGUGAAAAGCCCGCUCGCCGGAAGACCAAGGGUUCCUGUCCAACGUUAAUCGGGGCAGGGUGAGUCGACCCCUAAGGCGAGGCUGAAAAGCGUAGUCGAUGGGAAACAGGUUAAUAUUCCUGUACUUGGUGUUACUGCGAAGGGGGGACGGAGAAGGCUAGGCUAGCCGGGCGACGGUUGUCCCGGUUUAAGCGUGUAGGGGGUGUGACCUGGUAAAUCCGGUUGCAUACUAACCCUGAGGCGUGAUGACGAUGCACUACGGUGCAGAAGUAGUUGAUGCCCUGCUUCCAGGAAAAUCCUCUAAGCUCCAGGUAACAUUAAAUCGUACCCCAAACCGACACAGGUGGUCAGGUAGAGAAUACCAAGGCGCUUGAGAGAACUCGGGUGAAGGAACUAGGCAAAAUGGUGCCGUAACUUCGGGAGAAGGCACGCUGGCAUGUAGGUGAAGUCCCUUGCGGAUGGAGCUGAAGCCAGUCGAAGAUACCAGCUGGCUGCAACUGUUUAAUAAAAACACAGCACUGUGCAAACACGAAAGUGGACGUAUACGGUGUGACGCCUGCCCGGUGCUGGAAGGUUAAUUGAUGGGGUCAGCCGCAAGGCGAAGCUCUUGAUCGAAGCCCCAGUAAACGGCGGCCGUAACUAUAACGGUCCUAAGGUAGCGAAAUUCCUUGUCGGGUAAGUUCCGACCUGCACGAAUGGCGUAAUGAUGGCCAGGCUGUCUCCACCCGAGACUCAGUGAAAUUGAACUCGCUGUGAAGAUGCAGUGUACCCGCGGCAAGACGGAAAGACCCCGUGAACCUUUACUAUAGCUUGACACUGAACAUUGAGCCUUGAUGUGUAGGAUAGGUGGGAGGCUUUGAAGCGUGGACGCCAGUCUGCGUGGAGCCAUCCUUGAAAUACCACCCUUUAAUGUUUGAUGUUCUAACUC